UGGGCUAUGGUGUAAUGGUAGCACAACAGGUUUUGGUUCUGUUUGUUCUGGUUCGAAUCCGGAUAGCCCAA
rnacentral:tRNA from 1 species